UAAAAGCCCGCCAGCCACCUGAGGAAAGGGGGGAGAGAGACGAGGAGACUGGCCGGACUCGCUGAGAAUUGGAGGGACCCGGACGCACUAGUGACCAUCUCCCCAGGGCAUGCCGACGCCGUGUUGGACAACCCUGUUGAAGAAAGAGAAUCUUGUAGGAACCAGGGUAGACAGGUUACGAAGUUUUAGUUGCAGGGUGGAGGAAGAUCUGGAUCAGGAUGGAGGAAGAUUCUAUGAGCGACUUAGGAGAUGUGCUUCAGAUGGCAUUGUGCAAACUUCAUCUGCUUGAGCUCCAUCUACACAAUAAGGCCAUAUGGUUUUUUUUAACCAAACCUUGACAUCUUCCUCUGACCCUGUUGCAACAAACAGGGCUGCAUUGUGGCCACACAAUAGUUUUCUUCACGGUACAACCACUGCUCAACCGAGCUGCAUCCAAUCCCAGACACCUCUCUAAGACUAUGUCUAAACUG